rnacentral:rRNA from 1 species
GUCGAACGGAGUUAUUACGAAUGAAGUUUUCGGAUGGAUUUUGUUUUAACUUAGUGGCGGACGGGUGAGUAACGCGUGAGCAACCUGCCUUUGCAUUCGGGAUAACAGAUGGAAACGACUGCUAAUACCGAAUAACGUACAUUGAUUGCAUGUUUAAUGUACCAAAGAUCCGUCGUGCAAAGAUGGGCUCGCGUCUGAUUAGAUAGUUGGUGAGGUAACGGCUCACCAAGUCAACGAUCAGUAGCCGGACUGAGAGGUUGAACGGCCACAUUGGAACUGAGAUACGGUCCAGACUCCUACGGGGGGCAGCAGUGGGGAAUAUUGGGCAAUGGGCGAAAGCCUGACCCAGCGACGCCGCGUGAGGGAAGAAGGUCUUCGGAUUGUAAACCUCUGUUGAAAGGGAAGAAGAAAGUGACGGUACCUAUCGAGGAAGUCACGGCUAACUACGUGCCAGUCGCCGCAGUAAAAC